rnacentral:rRNA from 1 species
GAUCAUGGCUCAGGAUGAACGCUGGCGGCAUGCCUAAUACAUGCAAGUCGAACGGACCGAAGGGAAAGCUUGCUUUUCCUGAAGUCAGUGGCGAACGGGUGAGUAACACGUAGGUAACCUGCCCAUGUGCCCGGGACAACGCCUGGAAACGGGUGCUAAAACCGGAUAGGUAGAGAGAUCGCAUGAACUUUCUAUUAAAGGGGCUACGGCCCUGAACAUGGAUGGACCUGCGGUGGCAUUAGCUAG